AAACCGUUCGGGGGUAAACGGACAGAGCCCGUGAAUCCGGGCGGCGGAAUUCAGAAUCGACGGCGUUCGCGCGUCGUCGGUUCGAUAUUUCCGUCGCCAGCAUAAUACACACGGACGUCGCGACCCGUUCGGUGUCGGUCCGCAGGAGACGCGCGAAAGUUCGUGCGCGAUCGACGGGGUUUCGGCCUCGGCGGUCGUUUCGCGAGUGCGCGUUCUUUAUUUCUGGCCGACUCGCCGGACGGUAUGCGAAGCGGUGAUCGCGGCGGCCUGUCGUCAGCGCCGUCGCGUUACCGGUCUGCGACGAAUCUUCGGGCCUCUUUCCGA
rnacentral:rRNA from 1 species